rnacentral:rRNA from 1 species
AUUGAACGCUGGCGGCAGGCUUAACACAUGCAAGUCGAGCGGGGUGAUGGUGCUUGCACUAUCACUUAGCGGCGGACGGGUGAGUAAUGCUUAGGAAUCUGCCUAUUAGUGGGGGACAACAUCUCGAAGGGGAUGCUAAUACCGCAUACGUCCUACGGGAGAAAGCAGGGGAUCACUUGUGACCUUGCGCUAAUAGAUGAGCCUAAGUCGGAGUAGCUAGUUGGUGGGGUAAAGGCCUACCAAGGCGACGAUCUGUAGCGGGUCUGAGAGGAUUAUCCGCCACUCUGGGACUGAGACACGGCCUAGACUCCUACGGUACGCCGCACUGGGGACUAUUGGCCAAUGGGUUGAACCCUGAUCCAGCCAUGCUGCGUGUGUGAAGAAGGCCUUAUGGUUGUAAAGCACUUUAAGCGAGUAGUAGUCUCUUUUCGUUAAUACCCAAGAUGACUGGACGUUACUCGCAGAAUAAGCACCGGCUAACUCUGUGCCAGCCGCCGCGGUAA